CCCUUGUUCUACGAACGAGAACACAAAACUCCGCCGCUCAAACUUGCCACAAUCACCAUUGUCGCUGCCGAAUCGUUUUCCUUACAGAUGGAAAACAAUAAAAAGGUUGGCAACUCCACUGAUCAAUUUGGGGGUAAUGGGCCAAAGAGUAAAGCUAUAUGGGAUGCCGAUGCUAUAGCAACAUUUUGUGAUUUAUGUGUCAAAGAAGUUGAUGAGGGACAUCGACCUGGGUCUCACUUUAGCAAAAUUGGAUGGGAACGAAUUGUGACAAACUUUAAUAAGGCUACCGGAAGAGAGUGUGGUAAGUUACAGCUUGAAAAACAAGUGAGAUGCACUUAAAAAUGAUUGGAAAUUAUGGAAGGAAUUAGUUGGCAAGGAAACUGGUUUAGGAUGGAAUACAAAGAAGAAAACUAUUGAUGCAUCCGAAAAAUGGUGGCAGAAUAAAUUGCAGGUGCAUCCCAAUGCAGCAAAGUUUUGCAAGGAGGGCAUUGACCCCGACAUGCUAGAAAGGUAUGAUAAGAUGUUUAUGAACAUAACCGCCACCGGCGAUGGUUCAUGGGCACCGUCAUCUGGAUUGCUUCCAUCUGAGAGUAAUAAGUGAUUACGCUUGAAGGUGGUGGUGACUCAGAUGACCCUAAUAAUGUCGAGAAUUUAUCCAAAGAGAAGAAGGGAAAACGUUCUGCUGAAGAAGUUCCAAUUUCAAAAAGUGAUAUAUUAUCUAUGUAUAAUGUGUAUAUUUAUAUACAAUCUCAUAUGAUUUUUACUUUGUUAUUUAAGCAUAGAUGUUCUUUGUUUUGUG